CCCUAACCCCCCACCCCACUCACUGCCCCCCAGUCCUGGGAAGACACGGUCUGCAUGAUGGUUAAUGUAUGAACUCGACAGAAUCUAGGAGGCAAAUCUCUGAGUGUAUCUCUGCAAGAACCUUGGAAGCUGCCUUGUAUUCCCGGUACUCAACAGUCCCAUAACUGACCAUGGCCACACUCAAGACACCCAAGAGAAUGUAGAGUUUGGUGCUCACACACAGAAAUGAGCUGUAUCCAAAGGCAAUGACAAACCCUACGGCUUCCCCAAGGCGGUAGUUGGCAAAAGCAGGCUCUUUGUUCUCUUCAAACAGGACACCGAAAAGAACUGUGGAGGAGAGACCAGAGUGAAAUGCUGUGCAAGACCUCAAACAGGGCUGGAGAGACGGCUCCGUGGGUUAAGUGCCCAUGGGCAAGCAUGACAGCCUGCGUUCAGACUUCCAGCAUCCACAGAAAAUGCGAGGCUCAAGAAACACGGCUACCAACAGGAUGGCCAGGACACCGCUGCCUAGAAAGACACACAGACGCACGUCAGUGAUAUCUGGAUCAACCUUGUUCCACCCCUCCCCAUCUCCACAGACAGCUAGCCAUCGGAUUGCAGGCGAUCCAAGAAGAAAGAAGCACAGAAGCCACCUGGGCAUGCGUCUCCCACCUCCUGCUCCCUCUUCCACCUCAGCCUCACCCUAGAGCACUGCACCUACCUCCACAUUGUAUGGGACUUUGUUGGCCAGCACUGGCCAUCGACUCUGCUGUCUGAAAUCAGCUCCUGGGAUUGGCCCAGUUCUAUAACUGGCAAGCGGGGCAAGGACAAACACGGCCUCCCAUCAUCACAAAUUAUACAGUGCAUUCAGCACAUUUGGGGAAACCACAGGGGCUGACCCAGCCAGAGCGCAAUGAGAAACCAUUGUCCUGGGAAACUGCCUUCGUGAUGGCGGCGUCCCUUGUGACAGGGACAUGAGCUGUUCAUCUGGGAUGGCGUCUAUUGAAGUUGGAAUCAAGAAGAUGAGCGAGGAUAUCAGGUUGCCCCACACUCCGGAAGAUUGGAAUAUGAGGAAAAAGAUGCCAAAAUACUGGUUCACCACAUCUUUGCCCAGCUUUCCCACUUUUUCUGCUUGCAGAUUCCCAAUGACGGUGAGGUAGGAGUGCCACAUUCCUAUACAUUUGAUUUGACAGUACCUCAUACGUCCAGGGAAGUUGCCAGCAGUGCAGAACAUGGAACGUCCUUCUGUCCUGAAGAAUAAAGCAGAAACCAUCAACUUUCAGACUCGCCAUCCAACUUCUGAAAACCCAUUUAAUGUGAUACUAUCCAGGGCCAAGGACUUAGAAGUGCAAAGACAGGUGAUUUUUGCAAUGUUGCAAUGAUGUUUCAAGUGAUAGGAUAUGGUAAUUCGUCACAUGCAGAGAGCAAUUUUAUAGGUACCACUCCAUAGGAAAUAAUUUGCAUUUGAAAUCUUAGACUUAUCAUAAAACAGCAAAGCCCAGGGUUUCAGCCCAGAGCUGUGCCUGUUGUUGACUCGGCAACUGCCAAUCGUGUGGCCGCUGGGUUCUUAAGGCAUAGCUGUCAUUCUCUGUGGAACUGAAUUUGGAUUUCAUUUAGUUAAUUAACAUUAAAAACUCAGGUGGGCAAGUGUCAGAUAGGCCACACCCAGAGUGUCAAAGGGUGUUUUACUCACCGUGUACAAGUAAAAUAAGAAAUACUCCACGCUGGACACGGUGAUAGGAUCCUUUAAUUCCAGCACUCUGGAGGCAGAGGCAGGCAAAUCUCUUAUGAGUUUGAGGCCAGCCUGGUUCACAUAGAAUUCCAGGCCAGCCAAAGCUCUAUAGUGAGACCUUCUCUCCAAAAACCAGCUUCUACCCAGUUGUUAGUACAGCUAACUGUUCUUAAGACUGCUCCCAAGGUGCUGUGUCCUUGGUCAUUUCUGUGAAGUGAGGACCAAGCAAGGAAUCUUACAGCCUUGGUAACUGGCAUGACCCCCUGUCAUGCAGAUAAGACUCUCAGAGCAUAAUUGGUUUCUAUGAAAAGACAAGCCUUGUGGGAUUCAUUGGUUUAAAUAUUUACCAAACAUGGUUCGUUACACUGAUACACACACGAGAGCCAUACCGCUCUAGCAGGAUAUUCUAAUGGGGGCAGGAGGAGAUGGUCCAGCCUCACAAGCACUGGGGAACCUGAGUUUGAUCCCAGUCCAUGUUAAAAUACCGGGCAUACUGAGUACUUAGAAUGCCAGAGGUGGAAAGAGAGGGGAGAGAGAGAGAGAGAGAGAGAGAGAGAGAGAGAGAGAGAGAGAGAGAGAGAGAGAGACCGUCCCUGGGACUCGCUGGCCAGCCAAUCUAGCCUAAUUGGUGACCUCCAAACCAAUGAGAGAGCCUGUAUCAAACUGGCUAGAGGGCAUGCCUGAGGUUGGGCUGCCAAAGACCAAGAGGCUAACAGCACAAGGAACCGUGGAGCUGCCCUGAUUCAUAGAAGUCGGCAGCGAAUGCCAGUAAGACAGGGUGAGUGGGAGUAGCAUUUAAAGGAGAGUAAUGCUUAGCGUAUUUUCAUGCAGACGUUCACACACUAGCCUUGCUGUCAGCCAAUGAACGUUUAACUUCAUCCUUUGGUGAUGCUUUAGUAGGCUCCAUCAUCCUGUCUAUAAUUACCCCAAAAUGGCUUGUGUGUGAUGGGAGAGCUCUUCGUGUCUUCUUCUGCUAAUAGUCUCUUUCUCCAUUGGCUCCUCAAACUUAUUAGGACUAUGUCGUGGGGUCGACAACUGGCCCUGGGAGCAGCUUCUCUAAUAGCAGCUGUUCAGCCCCCCACACCCCAUCUAGGGAGGAAACGUCCUUUUAACCUUAGGACUCUGGAUCACAUAAUUCACCAGCCAUCAGGGACGACUGUUCUGCCACUGACCAAAGCAGGGACUUUGAGAUUGACAGUCACUUUAAUCAGUAAACUCCCCACUGAGACGCCCAAGCAACGGCUGGCUCGCUCUCUUAGAGUAAAUGCUCUCCUGAGCAAGCUCCUGUUCGUUUUCUUGGCGUUUACAUCUGAAAUCUAAAAGCAGCACCGAAAGAAUGAUCCUUGGCUCUAUUAUUUCUCUGCCAGAAAAAUGAAACAUGCCUACUCAGAGAAUGGGGGUUGCCACUCCCUUUAGGAAUUCUGGAAUUCUCACGCUCUGGGAAUAGUCAGACUUCGUUCCUCCCCCUCUACUCCCUUAGCAAUUUGUAUCCGCACAACUGCAGCUUACAAAGAUGUUUCCUCUUAGUACUGUGUGCCUGCCACCUCAGAGUUUUCUGCCAACUCCACAGUGUAGCAGCAAAAGCCUGGCUAAGCGAAUGGCCUCCUGAAUAACCGGAGAGCUUGCCUGGACAUGGCGCUCUUCCUCAGUGAGCCAGAGCCAUUCCAGUAAAAGCGAAACCCUUCGGCUAUUUUCUACUGCUUUCCAGAGAGCCCAUCUUGCCACAGACAGUAGAAACUGCCCUCCUACUCCCACUACUGAUGAAUCCCGUGGAGCCCCAGGUUGGUGGAGAUUGUGAUCACCUGGGAAUCUGGGUCUUGCUCUCAGAGGUUCGAGAACACACGUCUACUGCUGACGUAAUUACAGUGGCCUGAUGAGCCAGUCACUCUUGACGGCGCAGUCUGCAGAGUCCUGACCAUGACAUCCAGUCUGGCUAAGGUACUGCCACUCUGUACAGAAGGAGGUUCAGCCCUCCCUAUAAUGCUCCUGCAGCGCCCAGCUGACCAGAGCUCAGGGAGUCACUAUUCAUUCCAUCCUCAUGUUCUAAAGCAUGACACCAGGCCAUGUUUUAGGAUGCACCUGUGCAUACAUGCCUACACACAUAUCUCCAGGGCUGUAGACACAGCUCUUCCUCUGCAUUAAGCCACAGACAGAUACUUCCUGGGGCCGUCCCCAGGAAUGGGGGUUAUUACAAAGCUGGAGCUGACUGCUGACAGGGCGGCCAGCAGCCUGUGCUCAUGGGCUAAGUUGCAGGGGAGGAAACAGAUACAAACAAAACAACCAAGCAAAUUCAGAAGUCAAUCACGCAAACUCACGUGACUAUAGGCAGAGCAGGCACCAAAACCCAAUUAGGGCAGAAAACACACAUACAAAUCCAUUCCUACCAGGGCAGCAGAGUAAACCCCACCACCUAGAGCAGCCGGGAAACUACCCAGUGCCCCCAGGGAAGAUUAUCUGCCAUCUGGAAGGCAAAGCCAGGUUCUGUAGCUUGCAUAGCUUCUCAGUUUAGUGAAGCAGGCAGCUCCCUGUGAUCUAAUAACCCGCAGUUAGAGGCCAAGAUCUGGACAGCGGAGGAACGAACAACAUCAUGUGUAUCCACAGCACUCAAAAAAGGUACACACUAGUGGUCAUUGAGCUGCUGUGUCCUGCAUGCUCUUGUAAUUGAUUGCUCUGUCCCCACAAGCAAAGCCGAGUAGUAUUUAUUCUGGAAGAGCUCAAAGGACGAGUAUGAACCCUGCUCCCACAACACACACACACACACACACACACACACACACACACACACGAACUGAUACUGAUACUCUGUCCGUUGCUAGAUAAAUGCCAUCCCCUGUCUACUUACCUAGUUCCGUGACCUUCUUGCUUCCUGUCGCUACCUGGCACGGGGCCUUUUUAAUCUUGGAAUGCCAAUGCGGUUUCCAGGUUAAAAUUUUAACGCACUGUUCAGAACUGUUGUGUUUUUCCCAGGGUGCAUUGGGAAAUCAUUGUUGGGCAACACUUGUUUUCGUACGAGCAAGUAGCAGAGCCUGUCUAUAAGGCACCACUUGACUGGCCAUGAUCAGAGCUACAGAACCAGUCAUGGGGAAGAUUUGGGGGCAGACUUCAGGGAGACAGACAGGGAAACAACUCAGUGAUGUUAAGGCCAGUUACAAAGGCUCCUACUAAAAAGUAGUGUCUGUGGCUGGUGAGAUGCUCAGUGGUGAAGACCAUUUGCUGCUCUUCCGGAGGUUUGGGGUUUAGUUCCCAGCACCCAUAUCAUGGCUCACGACAGUCUGUCCCUCCAGUUCCAGGGGAUCCCAAAACACACUUCUGGCCUCAAGGGUACUAGACAUGUACAUGACACACAGACAUACAUGUGGGCAAUAUACCCAAGCAUACCAAAUUAACAAUGAAAAAAUUAGUACCUGGUUGGAAAAGCAUAGGAAAAGUUAAUUUGCGUAUGUACACGUGGAUAUAUUAUAAAUAUAUGCCUUGGCAAAACACAUUGCAUUGCAUCUUCACUGUAUAUAUAGGAGCACAUGUCUGUGUGCACAUACUGUGUGCACACACCCACACACAGUGACUCUGGAGUUUGACUCAUCAAGCUCUCCUUGCAACUCAUAAGCAACCGAACUUAUAUAAGAAAAUGCACAUGCCUUUCUGUGUUCGAUGUACCUGUGUUCUAUUCUACCCUCUACAUUCAUCUAAUUUCACAACGAAAAGUGUUCUUAAGGAAACGAUACUUUCAAAGUAUCUUUAAAUAUUCUUAGGAAGAACUUUGCAAGGUAAACUGAGACAGCCACUGAGUGUGCGCAGUCCUCUUCUGCACUGGUCUGUGGGGAAUUAGCCAGGAUUAUGCCUUAGGUCACAUGCCUGGCCUCCUUCCAACCAUCAUACACAAACACCAAGUCAUAGGAAUUGCCUCGAUUUUAUGGGUUGCCUGCAUUCAUGAUCUAUGUCCACCCUGAUUAUUGAAGGCAUCUGUCCACAGCACAGCCCAGGGAUUAACCCAGAUGCCAGGAAGGAACAUACUAGCACAGGUACAGAAACAUUGAAGUGGGGAGGACCAGCCUGGGUCUCCUCUGCCCUGCUCUCCUUCCCGCAGGCCCUGGGUCAUCCAUUUGGGGCAAGUGAGUGGGAAACACCUUUGGGUUGGGCUAUUUACCAUGGUCUAGAGAGGAACACCAGGUCCCUCCUGGAGCCCAGAUGAACUCUGGUAGACACCUCUGAUCAGUUGGCAAGUGUCUCUUGAAUUCUGAACCUUAGAUGAGGAAGUGGCCUGCCACAAAACCAAGCCAGAUUCUUCUUCCCAGCCUGGACCUGUUGUUUGAGGGUUGUGCUUAGGUGGCCAGCAAGACUAGGUCAUUGACUGCCUCCUCUAAGGCAAGAAAACACAUACCUGGCCAUACCUGCCCAUCCCGUUUGGUCUGUCCCUCUUCGUUGUACUGCCUAGCAGGGACCCAAGGCUGAGAUGGCUGAGACAGCACAAGGAGGCUAGCACCCACUCAGCUAAGGAAAAAGUCAGGCUGAUGCUGUGCAUUGAGAGCAGGCAGCCAGGAUUGUGACUCACAAGGGAGGGCAGGAGCUCUGCGCUCACUGCAGUGGCUGUGGGAGGGGCUGGUCUUCACAUCUGGAUGUCAGGGUGCGCAUCACCCUACAGGUGAUGUCAGAGACCCCAGAUGAGACACGCACACUCCACGUGCACUCAAACAGCCGUAAACAUUCAAUCAUUAUGGUCCAUUUUCUGGAUCAUCAAAGAACCACAAAUAAGUAGGAGGUACUAGACUCCUGUCUUCCCAAGCCAGCAGCUGGCACCUGCUCACCUGGACACAUUUUGGUUUGUCUUAGUGUUAGAUUGUAACUCUUUUAUAAUCUGCUGUGUGGCUCCCAGGAGAUUGGGGGCUUUGGAGGUGAGGGCUUUGUUGGAAAUGCAGGGAAGAUUGUUCCCCCAUGAAGAAUUCAGCCAAUGAGGCAUUUAGGGGGAGCAACGAAAUGUGUUUAUAAAAGACAGGUUUGUGCCCAAUUGGUACACCAGGCAUUUUUUGCUUCUUAUCAUGGCUUCCCGGAAACCAAAAAUAAGUAAAUCUACCUGGCUUUGAGUAGUCUGAGUCUCCAGUGCUUUUAUGACCAAGUGGGGAUCGUUCCUCACACUAACCCUGAAUAGUCUGUGCCUGAACUGGGCAGGAGUCCAGGUGCUGUGUGAGGACAUUGUGGACUCAGUCAUGUGACUUCAAGUAAGCCAGAUGGCACUUUUAUCUUAACUCCAGUGGGAUUAGCUUAUAGCUGGCAUUGAUUAGAACAUCUCUGUGGCCUAAUAAGCCAUUGCCCUUCCCAAAAGGAGCUUGUAAGUCAGUUUUGGGAAAUAGUGAUCACAGUGUGUCACCUAGGUGCAGCCUGUUCCAAACGUUUCCAAUUUUCCCUGCCCUUUAGUUCUUUUGAGCUAUAGGAGCUGAGCUUCUGAACUCAUUUCCCCUCUCUUUUUUGAGUACCUACUGUGUGUUAUUCACUGUGGCCGACUGUCUCUGGGGAGCUGAAGAUGCCUAUCCUCACAGCCCACUAGGAAAUGUGAGGUAUUGCCAAUGUUAAGGGCACAGAGCAAUAUUCUCUGGUUCUGGCAGAAGGAACAAAUGGGCUAAAAGUGCUUGUGUACCUGCCUUGAAAUAUUUAUCUAUGCCCAGUGUUCCAAACAGCCUUGAAGACUUAUUCUGCAGAACAGCCCCGACCAGGAAGUGUCGAGAGUCAACAGGGCCUUGUAUAAGCAAAGUGGCCUAGGGUUGACUUAGUAGAAACUAAAGACUCCAUCAAUGUAGAGGUAAUUUGAGGGGCUGGGCACCUAGUCCCUCUGUUCCUUCAGAUUUGUUAGUGAAGAACAAUACCUAAGCUUGGAGGUAUAUGUGCAUGUGUCUGUGUACGCAUGUUUUUGUGUGUCUGUGUGACUGUGUGUUUGUGUCUGUGUGUGCCUGUGUAUGCCUGUGUCUGUGUGUGACUAUGUGUAUCUGUAUUUGUGUAUUUGUGUGUGUGAUUGUAUGUGUAUCUGUCUGUCUUUGUAUGUGAGUUUGCAUGUAUGCAUCUGUGUGUGUGCGCACCUGUAUGUGUAUGUAUGUGUGUGUCUGUGUGUCUGUAUGUGUAUCUGUGUGUCUCUGUGUGUUUUUAUGUGUAUGCAUUUAUGUGUGUGCACCUGUAUGUGUGUGUCUAUAUGUUUGUGUGUGUCUAUCUGUGUGUCUGUGUGUAUAUAUCUGUGUUUCUGUGUCAGCAUGUGUGUAUCUGUGUGUACAGGUGUGUGGGUAUCUGUGUGUACAUGUGUGUAUGUGUCUGUAUGCAUAUGUGUGUAUAUCUAUGUGUCUAUAUAUUCAUUUGUGUGUGUCUAUGUGUAUGUGUUUGUAUGCAUAUGUGUGUAUAUCUGUGUGUCUGUGUGUGUUUGUCUACAUGCGCCUGCACAUACAUUUCUCGGUGCAGAGGAGGAAGGGUUGAUUGAGCACACAGGGUUUGGUUCAUCACACCAGUGGCUCCAGAAAACCUUCCAACCAACCUCGUUCUCUUAUCUUUCACCCACCCCCCUUUCCAUGUGCCAUAUUCACUGCUUUGCUGAUAUUUGAGAGACAAGAAGAGCCACAGCUGAGAGAAAAACCCGCUGUCCUUGAACAUGUAUGAACACUACGCUUCCACUCACAGCCAUGCCUACUUCUGCUGCACCCAGGCUCUGAGGAAACAGUGAUGGCAGUGAUGGCAGUGAUGGCAGUGAUGGCUAUGCAGUCAGGCUCGGCUCUCCCCCUUUGUGCUGAAAGAGCAACCUCAUCACCAGCAACACAUUUUACGCCAUCCCACCCCGUGCUGCCCAGGUUUUCAGACCCAUGUGUGGAUGACCCAAGAACCUAGAGUACUGGAACUCUGAGUUACCGAAGGGUGACCUGGGACAGAAGAUUAAAGGUGCAGCCUCUUGUGGUGCCAUGCAAAACAGAAGUAAGCUCCAUCAAGAAUUAUUACAAGAAAGUGGGCAACUGAGGUAAGACAAAAAAAUUAGGGGAAAUGAGAGAAAGUGGGGGAGGGUGCAGGGCAUUGUAAGAGAGGAAAAGCCAUGAACUUCCUUGUCUGGGGACUUUUGUGGUACCAUGGCAGAAACUAGAUACAGGCGGGUUACUCUCUGGGCUCUUAUGCUCCCACACAUUUCACGCACGGCUCCCUGGCCCAUCAGAACUGUGGCCAUGCAGUGUCCAUGCAUGGGCUGCCCACCUAGUGGGGCAUUGAAACCCUGCCUUGUGACUUGUUAGCCACUGACCUCAAAUAUCUGCUGUUUAUCACUUGGUCAGUGUUACAACCUCGGAACUUACAAAUGUACAAGCCCUGAUAAUUCUGCUAAUUGUACUAAGCUCUGGUCAUUCUCACAGUCACAUAACCAGCUUGUAGCUUUACUGUGGGAAAGCGUUAACUCUAACACAGCCACCAAGAUGUAAUUGUCAUCUUUCUUGGUUACCUCACACCUUGUGUCCUGUCUGUGGUGUUUGGGCGGUCUCCUGAAAUAGGUAGAGGAUUCUUGUUGGAAGCUGUCCUCAGUUACAGCUGCGUGGUACAUUUACCUGUGUGAGAAAUAAGACUAUGUAAACUUGUCUCACCUGUUCCUCGGGGGCUUUGGGGCACCUCCUGGCCUGCUGCCUCUGCCUCAGAGCUCCAGCCUUCAUUGUUUAGCUUUGCCAUCUCACAUCCAGCUACUGAUCCUCUCAUUCACCUCAGAAUUCCAUGCCUUGCUGUGUUUGCCCAUAAGCAGUCUCUAACUCUGGUGUCUAUUCUCACAGCAGCAUGUGUGAUCGACUUGCAUUUUCACCACAGCCCUUCUCUUUCUGCAAAGAGCAGCUCCAGCCACAGCAGGAGUUCAGAACUGAGACAGGAGUAAGUCUAGCUGAGACUGCACUGUUCUCAGCUGUCCCGCAGCCAAGGGUAGUUGUACCUGUGAAUCCAGAAUGCCUUUUGAAGGAUGAUGUGACCUUUGAUCUAUGACCUUUGGCACUUGCUCUUUGAUUUCUUACCAACUGUAAGCUAAAGCUGUACCCUAGAUCCUAGAAGAAGGGAAGAGGAUCCCUAGUCCCUGGUGUACAUGGGAGCCUAUGCACCUACUUGGGCUGUUUCCCUCCUCACUUUUGGUUACUCUCAGAAGGCAGUAUGGGCUUGUGAAAGUUUAAGUUGCUGGUAUGUGUUGCAGUGAGAAUUGACAGCAUUGUGCUCACGGUGGGAAUCUAUUGUUACUGUAGGACUGGAGAACCUCACCUCAGUAUCUGCCACACUGACGUGGGGUUAUUUUGAGCUGGUGGCAACUGAAACGACAAAAAGAAGGGAGAGAUCUCUGCUCCUCUCCAUUGUGGUCAAAAUUCUAGUGGUUAGACUGAAGCCAGCGUUCCUUAGGAAUUUCUGAAAUUGGUUCCCUUCUACCAAAGGAGCCAUCACAUUAUUACUGGCAGAAGGGACAAAGGCUGUCUGUUCUGCCUACUUGCAUACCAAAGUGCAUGUUGGUCUCCUGUCUUCCUCCACAUUAAAGUACUCGUUACACAUUUCAGAGUCAAUGCUGGCACCCUGGCUCUGCAUACCCAGGCCCUCCCACUGUAAACUUCUCCAGCCCAGAAGCUUCUCUCUCCACUGCUACUCAUUUUUAUGAUCUUGCUGUUUUGGCUGUGUUGUAUAUUUUUAGCUUCCUCUCUUGCCCUUUUCCCUUGGUUGUCUCUUUCUCUCUCCUCAUGGCCAAGUCCAAUCUACUGGCCAUGUUCAGUCUAUAUUUUCUCUCUCUGCUCUGGACGAUUUCAGAUGUCUCUGGGUGGGUCUCCCUCAUACCUAUAAAUAAAACUGUAUAAAUAAAACUGUCCAUUUAACCAUAACUUGGAGCAGUCAUACACUCCCAUCUGCCUGAGCAAGCGGUAUAAACUUUCCAUGCGAAGUUGUUCCACCCUCUCCAUUUCAUGACCCGGAAGGGAAAACCACAACCUACUACAGCAAUGAGAUGGCAACAGCAAAGAACACGUGAGCAUAUAUGAACACAUGAACACAUAUGAGCACAUGAACACAUGUGAGCACAUGUAUACAUGUGAGCACAUGAACAUGUGUAAACACAUGUGAGCACAUGUGACUGCCUAUCUGGUACGUACCUUUUACUAGUGUGCUCAUUUUUUUUCUUUUUCUUUUUUUUGGAGCUGGGGACCGAACCCAGGGCCUUGCGCUUGCUAGGCAAUAGCUCUACCACUGAGCUAAAUCCCCAACCCCUAGUGUGCUCAUGUUUAAAUUUGUCAAGGAAAAGAACAAAACACACACAGGGUGGAUUAGAAUGGGCUCAAAGCACAUCAGGUAGAAUCAAGAGGCCAUUGCUGGCUAUACUUCAAGCACAGCUCCAGCAGAUCUUCUGAACUGGACUUAAGACACCCAUUCACUGCUGUGUAAGGGGACCUUGACACUGGGCCAGACCAUGGAUUCCUAUUAGCCUCUGCUGACCUUGUGUUUCAGACACACACACACACACACACACACACACACACACACACACACACACACAGAGAGAGAGAGAGAGAGAGAGAGAGAGAGAGAGAGAGAGAGAGAGAGAGAGAGUUUGAAGCAAAAGCAGGCUCCAGCAUUUUAUUAUUUUCUUUGAAUCCCUUUUUAUACCCCUUAAGACAAAGUUUUUCUAUUAGAAAUAAAAUUACUUCAUAGCCAUAAGCUACACAUUUUCAAGAAACAAUUCCACAAAAAUCAUUCCUUAAGAACUGAUUAAAAUCAUUAAACAAGUUUCCUCUUACUCUUAUAACAGGAUUAUUGAUUAAGUAUUUUUUUGAAAUUAUAUGUAAGUAAACAAUUCUUGUCUAUCUUUCCACAAGCCCAUUUAACCUAUAGGAGAUAAUUCUCUUGUUUUUGAUUAACAGAGACUAAGCAGGCCAAGUGUAUAGUAGUAAGUUUCUCCUUGUACUUUGCUCAGGACAAUCUGCAUUUACUAAGGUAUAGGUUACCUGUCUUAUGUCUUAUUUUUGACAUCUUGAUCAGCUAGACUGGCGAAUCCUCUGUUCUCUGUCAUAAUAGAAUUGUAUGGUCUUUAUUUUAACCCUUUUCUUUCCUGGUGCACACCAAGCAUCUGUUACCUCAUCCCCAGAUCACAAAAUGAAGGAACUCAGGCUUGACUUGGAGUGAAUGUUUCCUUUGAUCAUUAACUUGUCCCAAACCUAUUUUUCUUGCUACCUCAAUUAUGUGCUUGUACUGCAUGAACACUCACAGUACUCCUCUCUCUAACUCAUGCAGCUCUUGACAUUGUAUGAGGAAGGGACACAUUCUAUCCUUGAUUCUAACUACAUUUCCUAUCAACUACCCUAACAUCACAAAAUUAUUUAACUCAAGCUAACUUUCUAUAACUACCUAAAUCAAAUUAAGAAUUCCAUAAAAUCAUUAAUUCACCUGAACUGCAUCUCAAGAACAUUCUUCUUCAUGUUGACCUGCAGGAAACUUGCCCAACAGAGAGGGCUAUCACCCAGUGAGUAAUCACACCAGGCUAUAGGCAGUGAGGGUCUCCCAGUAUCCACUCACAAUGAGCCAAAUAAAUGAGGAAUAUGGCAAUGACCUGCAGGAGAAAGCGCAUCAGUAGUAAGAAGCAAUCCUGGGAUGAAGCCCCUAGGGUUGUACCUUUCUAGAGUGCACCCACUGCAGCAGAGCAAGACAGUGGGAGGUCUUGGGGGGGGAGUUCACUUGCGAAUUGUAGCUCUUCCUGGAGGGUGCCCACCACUGACCUAUGUUUCCAGGAAGGAAAUCUACCUCCUGUCUUGUCACCCUUCAGAGAGUUUGGGGAGAUGCCCCAUUCUGCUUUGGUUUAGAUGUAAAGCCCAAAAUGUGUAAAACUCCUAGCCAGAGUUUGUCUGCUUGUGUCCCUCAAAUUCAUGCUGAAACCAUCACCCUCACGUUGAUAAUAUUUGGAAGUUCAGGUUUUGGGUAAUGUCUUAUUCAGUGACCCAUUGGAGUGAAGAGACAGCAUAACCACAGCAAGUCUUAUUUUAAAAAGGGAGAGGGUAUACAAUUGGGGUUCGCUUACAUUUUCAGAGGUUCCACCCAUUUUCAUCAUGGAGGGGGAAUAUGAUGGGCAUGCCGGCAGAUUUGAUUUUGGAGAAGUAGCUGAGAGUUCUACAUCCAGAUCUGCAGGCAGCAGGAAGAGAGAGAGACACUAGGCUUGUCUUGGUAUUUUGAAACUUCAAAUUCCACCCUCAGUGGCACAUUUCCUACAUCAAGGUUUUCAAAUAGUGCCCCUCCCCAGUGACCAAACACUAAAAAUUAUAGGCCUAUGUGCACCAUUCUCAUCCAAACUACUACAGGAAGGACUAUGUUGAGUGGAUGAAACCUUCAUGGUGAGAUCUAUGCCCUAUGAAAGGGGUUUCAGAGGGAUCACUUUACACUGCAAGGACACAGCAAGAAGACAGACAUCUGCAGCCCUGAGAAGGGUCCUCCCAGAGUUUGGCCAUCAUACUGGCAUCUGAUCUUUGCCUCCAGAACAGUGGGAAGCACAGAUCUAUUCUUUUUUUAAUUAUUAUUUUAAAGGAAUAUUUUCAUAUUUGAUGUGACCUUUCUGAAUAGGAUUUUAAUAAAAGUAACAGAUUCUUUUUUUUAUUAACUUGAGUAUUUCUUAUUUACAUUUCGAGUGUUAUUCCCUUUCCGAUUUCUAUUCUUAAGGCGCUUGCUUGCAUCGCUGACCAGAUUAUUCCAGCCACAGUCAGCCAGCACAGAGCUUCUCACGACAGCCCCAAGAGCUACUCAUAUUUCUGCCUAGGGAACAUCUUGCUUUUAGGAACAUAAACAAACGUUCUGUUGCUCAAAGCCUUGCAAAUAAUCAUCUUAUGCUCUUCCCAAACUUGCUAUGCCCAGGCUAAUACUCACUGAUCUUUCUCCAAGCCUCAGAGCAAUCUGCUUGGGUCCAAAUCAAAAGGAAGAUCAUUCAUGACAUGAAUAUUAAAGAAGAACCCAUCAUUAAAAAGCAAAGGGAACAUGGUAUCUUCAUCAUAACUGCAGGAAAAGCCUGUGACAAUCUAGGAGCAGAAGGAUCCCUCCUCAAUCUAAUACGGGUGGUAUAUGACAAACACAGGACAACACUACACUGAAUGGGAAAGUGGGAACAUUUUCUCCCAAACCUGGAAUGGGACAGGAAUUUCCACCCUCUCCAUGUUCAUUCAAUACUUUGCAUGAAGAUGCAAAUCUAGAGCCAUACAUUGAGAGAGAGAAAUAAGAAAGAUGCAAGUAGGAUAAAAGAAAUCAUACCAUCUGUGGUGGUCUGAAUAUUUUUGGCCCAUGGGAGGUGGCACUAUUAGGAGUGGUGGCCCUAUUAGAAGAGGUAUAGCUUUGUUAGAGGAAAUAUCUCCCUGUGGAGGUGGGCUUCAAGGUCUCAUAUAUAUGCUCAGGUCUGGCCAGUGUGAUCCAGAUCUUCUUCCUGGUUGCCUGUAGACUGAGAUAUAGAACUCUUGGCUCCUCUAGCACCAUGUCUGCCUGGGUGCUGCCAUACUUUCCGCCAUGAUGAUAAUGGACUGAACCUCUGAAACUGUAAGCCAGCCCCAAUUAAAUGUUUGCCUUUAUAAGAAUUACCUUGGUUUUGUUGUCCCUUCACACCAGUGAAACCCUGAAAUCUAAUAAACACUGCCAACAAGGUAGUAAGAUGAAAAAGAAAUAAUCUGUUUAUACACAAAUUAAAAAAUCCAUAGCCAGGGGUUGGGGAUUUAGCUCAGUGGUAGAGUGCUUGCCUAGCAAGCGCAAGGCCCUGGGUUCGGUCCCCAGCUCCGAAAAAAAAAAUCCAUAGCCAGGCAGUAGUGGUGCACACCUUUAAUCCCAGCACUCAGGAGACAGAGGCAGAAGUAGUGGCCAGUGAAUUUCUGUGAGUUUGAGGCCAGUCUCAUCUACAGGGGACAGCCAGAUACACACAGGGAAACCAUGUCUUGAAAAACUAAACCACAACAAAAGAAAAUCGCUAGAAAAGUCAGAAAAACAAUCACUUUAGCAAUGUUAUCAAAAUAAAACUUAGUAGCAAGCAUGACCAAGAAUGGAGAAGACCUCUACAAGGAAAACACUAAAGAGAGAAAAGGAAGAUACUAGAAUAUGCAAAGAACUCUCAUGCUCAUGGAUUGGCAGAAUUAACCAUGAAAAUGGCUACAAUACGAAGAAGCAAUCUUUAAUUUCAAUGCAGUCCUCACCAGAAUCCCAAUGCCUUGCUUCGGGGAACUAGAAAAACAAAACAAGGACAAAAAUCCAAACUUUAAAUUCCUUUGAAAACACAAUCCUGUGCACACACAGCAAUCCUGUGCACAAAGCAGUCCUGUGGACACAGCACUGAUGGAGGCACCUUAAUUCCUGACUUUAAAUUAUAUGACAGAACUGCAGUAACACCACCAGGAUGGUACUGACACAAAGGCAUGUGUAGAUCAAUUGAGUGGAAAACAGGACCCUGAGAUGAAUCUGCAACUCUCUGAUUCUUGGCAAAGAUGUCAAAAAGUGGGUGUUGGAGAAGAGACGGCUUCUUCAAGUGGUACAGAGGGGUUAGGGGGGUGGAACCUGGAUUCAGGUGGAGACUCAGCCCUCACCCUGUACAGCAUCAACUCAAAAUGGAUCAAGCAACUUCAUGUAAGACCCUUAACCAACCCUCUGCAGGAAAGCAGAGGAAAGGCUUAGAGACCUUGGCAUAUCAGUGACUUUCUGAGGAGGACAUAAACAGAAAAGGAAAUCAUGACAUUUGCUAUGAGAUGCAUGACAUUGAAAAGCUUUUUCCCAGGAACCAAAACACUGGAGUAAAGAGAUGGCCAACAGAACUAAAGAAUUCAUGUGUGUGUGAGGGAGGGGGUGGGGGCGGUGUCCAGAAUGCAUAAGGAACUAAAUGACUAAAUACGAAAAGAACAAACCAUUUGAUCAACAAAUGGUCAAAUCAACUAAUUGAACACUUUUCAAAAGAAGCAAUAAAUGCACAAAGGGUCCAACGUCUUUAGAAACUAGGAAAAUGAAAUCAAAAUGUAAUCUAUUGAGAGGCUAUCAUCCCAGUUAAAAUGACUACUACCAUCAAGAAAAGAAUAGGUCACUGAGGAUAUAAGGAAAGGACAAUAAACACUGUGGUGUAAGUGUAAAUUAGUGGUGCCACUGUGAGAACAGGUGCCAGUGUCUGAAAUUUAAGACUGAGUUAUUGUUGAGUUCAGCUAUAGCAUUUCUGGGUACAAACCCAGAGGAAUCAAAGUCAGCUUUCUGUAGAGACACCUGCACACCAGGGCCUGUUGCUACACUAUUCACUGGCUACACUGUAGCCAAAUCAUAGAAUCAGCCUAGAUUUUGCAGUGCAGCAAUGGAUAAUGAAAAUGCUGUCCAUUAUGAGUAGAGUUUCAUUAAACUACAGUGGAGGAUGGAUGGCAUUGGGAGAUCAUCCUAUUAAGCAAAAGCAGGGAGUAGCUAUGAUGUAAGGCUUAUGGGAAAGCAUGAGUAGAACCAUUGGAGGUUGGGGGAGCAGGGAGAGCAGGAAGGGGAAUAUAGGGCUGGACAUGGACAAGAUUGUUACAUAGUGUUACAUACUGUUAAAGUUCCCCCGACCUUACCAGAACUGACUCCAUGAAGGAAGCACCAUUCAGGCUUUGAAGCUCAACAUUUAGGCAGCACCAUCUGCCAAAACAAAAACAAGACCUUCUUUAUCAAAGCUCAGAGUUGUAAGAAAGUCUCUGAAUGUACUAAUCUUCCCUUUUGACUUCUGUAGGUCUGCUUCUGGCUGCUCCUGUUAACUGAAAUAUGUAGACCCAGGGUGUCUUUUCUGUGCUUAAAAGCUCACCCUGAGAAAAGCUUGGGUCUACACUGGGGCACCAAACACCCAGUGUAGUCACUGGCUGGAUAAUGAAGACUUUCUAUUGGCUUAAACCCAUGUCUAAGUCAUCUUAGAGAAAACCAUCUCACAACAGUAUAUCUAUAAAAAUGUCACAAAAUCCCUCUUUUUGUCUACUGGAGACACAAAGGUCCUUGCACUCAGAGAGCACUAGAGAACCAGGAAUGUUAAAUAUGCAAGGGUCCUCCUCAAAGAAGGAUAUAAAAUAUCUAUUUUCCAACCAGAAGGUUGGAAGUGGAUAUUUUAAUGACCUGGUGACCCUUUGCUAUCUGUGGAGGCAUAGAUGCCUCACCCAUCCUUUGCUAUAUGUGCAGACCUCACCCACAUUCCCCAGAAUGUUUAUCCCAGCCUCUCCCUCCCUAUCCUUACCUUUAUCUAUAGCUAACAGAGUCCAUGUUAGGGGAACGCCACAUGUAUUCUACGGCCAGCUGACCUCUGUGCUCUCUCUACCAGGGACCACACUGGGUUCUAGGUCUUUAAGCUAUGGUCACACAUACUUUGCAAAGGCAUCUUUAUGUGGUCACACCUUAAGCUUUAUUGUGCUCCUGUAAUGGGGAUGAUUAUAGCCUGGAAACUUUUUCCCAAACUGUACUGUGUUUUCAAUAUGCUGACAGUGAAACACCUGGCAUCAGGCUCCCAAGUUGACAAAGUCAACUUGCACCAGGAUUUUGUUCUCAUCUCUCCGAGGUUCACUUCCCUACAUAGAUCCUUGCAGGGUUCCUCUUUGUGUCUGCAGAUACUGACUGACUGAUUAGUGCUGCUAGUUAUCUAGUUCUGGCCCUCAACACUAUUCCUCACCCAUCUCAGAGUUGGAACUAACUUUUUAUAACUAAAGGAAAAAAAUGAAUCUAUUACUUUAGCAGAUCCCUAGCUUCCAAUAACCUAAAAGCUCAGGUAGUAUCUGCAGCCUAUAGAAAGUCUACCCACAUCUUGUUGAACCUGCUUCUUAAAUAACCCACCAACGCAUUUUAAACUUGCCUUGAUUUAUGACUUUCUCUGUUCUGUAAAACUUGAAACUGCUUCUGCACUGGGACAUGGAAUUUGGGGUGACUUACAUCUGUGUUCCUGGGGCCAUGGCCACCCAAAAUGGCCCCUGAGUAAACUCUUAUUCUCCUUAAGGUGAGAGCUGUGGUUUUGUGUGGACACUUGUAAACAAAGAUUAGACAGGGAAACUUGAGGACUGUGUGUCAUGGGGCUUUGGGUGCAGGGCAUCCCACAGGCUCUUGUUUGACCUGGGGCAGAGAGAGAGGUGUGGCCAGGAGAAAACCACUUACAGGAAGUUUGUGUGGGUUGAAAACAAAGACAGGUGUGGCCAUGCUGACAUGGCACACCUGGCUACGUUUGUGCUGAUAUGUCAGUAAAUCACUUAUUCAGCUCUGGCCUUCUCCACAGCCUCUGACUGCUGACUUCCCCACAAGGGCAUGGCUGAGCUGAUCUCCACAUGCCAGAACACCCAGUGGGAUUCUGAUUCAAGUUUCUAAUUCUUGGGAUGACCUUGAUCUUUGGAGAAUCAGGGAUGAGGAAGAGGUGGCAGGUGACAAGCUCAAUCGGCUCAACAGGAAUUUCAGACCCUGAUCAUACCCUGUGCCUUGCUUCUGUACUUUGGCAAUAUGGCAGAUCGCCUAGAAUCUCUUUGUGAAACACCUUCCCCUCCAUAUUGCCAAGGCCCUGGACAAACCCACCAGCUCCAACUUGAUGGUUCCUGUGGUAUGGCAGUAAGAACCAGAGCCUGGUUGGUCUUAGUGCCUUUGCUGGUACUGCAGGUGGUGGCAUGGGUGGGACUUUUCAUUUGAAGAUGCUCAUCUCUAAGGUGCUAUCUUAGUGACAUUUCCCAAUGGCACCAGUCACCAUGAUUAUGGAACCAAUACAUUGGCAGCUGGUCUAUCACAUCCAUAGUCUGGAAGCAGAGAGUAAACAGGAAGCUGGUCUGUAAAACUCCAAGGUCCACCCACUAUCUCCAGCUAGGCCUCACCUCCCAAAGAUUUCAUAAGCUUUCUAAACAGCACAACCAGAAGGGGGCCAAAUGUUCUAACAUGGGAACCUGUGGGAGACAGUUCACAUUCAAACCAGGUCAGGUGUGGAGGGAAUGCUCCUGCCAGAGGCAGAUUGUAUAAGCAGCCUACAGUGGGCUUCCUCUGUCCUUGUUGCCUGCAUGCCUGGUGCAGAUGCUCUAACUCUGCCCUGAGGUGGUGGUGGUAGUGAUGGUGGUAGCAUUGCUGCUGUACUCAGGAAGGCCCAACACAGCUUCCAAGGUCCCGCACCUGACUAAUGAUAGAUGGGGAUGGGGACCCUUCUCUCUCGAGGCUACAGGUCAACCUAGGUCACUGAGGUGAGAAAAACAUAUUUGCUAAAUCCCGGCCCAUCCCCAGGUUAAACUGAGCUUAGCCUAAUCUGGGGGCACAGGCGGUUCUUACAGGAACUUUUGUUAACCCAUAUCGUUCUGCUCCAGUAACCACAAGGCUUUCGGCUCCCCGAUCAAACAGAAACACUAGGUGAAACCACUGUGCCCUUAUUAAAACUUCAUGUCCUGGCAUGCUUGGUAACAGCUAUCGUAGCUACACCUUACCUUUGGGGGUGGGUGGAACUCCAACAAGGCUUCUGGAAGCAGGCUGGAGGUUAUGUGGGACACAGGACAUGAGUUGGACAAUGUUUUUCCAGGGACUCAUCUUUGCAACCCAGACCCUAGAAAAAGCCUUUGAAAGUGGUGACUAUGACAGCUGUCCAAGGUGAUACCCAGGAAGCCACAUUGGCCUUGGCCAGAGAUUUUCUGAAGACAUCUCAGUGCCGUUAUUGUUUAUCUGAUAAAGAGGUAAAUGGGGAGGAGCAUAGUGAUACAAAGUGGCUUUGGGUGUAUGGGUGGCUGGGUUCAGUAACUUAGACUAUCUGAAUGACUCAGUUGUCUGCUGGCUGGUCAUACACAAAAUGCAGUGUCCCUCUGGCAAUACAUAAGAACCUGGGCUGACUCAGAGAACAUACACAAAUCAAAUGAUACAAAGUAACGAACAGGGUGGAGAGGAGCCAACAGCAAUGUCUCAUCUCCCAAGGUGUGUUUCAGGUGAAUUCAGUGUAAAGGAAGACUAGAGAGACCAAGGAGAGACAGGGAUUAACAGCUAAAGCAAAUCUGUACUCCAUGCAACCUGUGCAUAGUUGGGUAGGAAUGUCCCACUCCUUUCAAAUCAUUUUGUAUUCCAGCAGCCAGCCUUAUUGUGACAACUGAGAGACUGGAGACACUGUUCCUGUGAGAUGCCUGUAGUGACCACCUUCGGGUGGAAUAAUACCUUAGGAGAAAAGAGAGAUAAGUAGGAAGCUAAGUUCUGAGGUGGGAGAGAAGAUACUGCUGCAGAGGAAGUUGAGUGGCUGUCUCAGCGCAGGUCUGAGGGACCCAGGAGGUCAUUUUUGUAGUUCCACUCCAUUGCAGUUAUUAUGAAUGGGAGCCAGAGACUUUGCUCAGGGAUUAAGGAUACUUACUGCUCCUGCAGAGGACCUGAGCUUGGUUCUCAGCACCCACAUCAGGCAGUGCACAACCGCCUGCCUCUCCAAUUCCAGGGGAUCUUAUGCCUUCUGGCCUUCUCAGCUCCUGCAUUCUUGUUGCAUAUAUAAUCUCACCCUAUACACACAAAUGCAUGUAUCAAUAAGUAUUUUUAAGGUGUUAUCUGGCCAUUCCCCUCUUUAUAUACCUGCCAGACACCAUGCAUGAUUUCUAAAGAGCCUCUCGCUCAGGCUGGGGAGAUGGCUCAGAGUUUCAGAGGACAGGCUGUUCUUCCAGAGGUCCUGGGUUCAAUUCCCAGCAACCACACGGUGGCUCACACACAACCAUCUGUAAUGGGAUCCGAUGCCUUCUUCUGGUGUAUCAGAAGACAUCGACAGUGUACUCAUAUACACUACAUAAAUAAAUUUAAGAGAAAAAAAUAGUCCCUCCCUAUACACAGCGGGAGUCCUCAGAGAGUAAAUGCACACAUAGCUAAAGAUUGACAGAGAGAGGGAGCACAUGUGCAUGUUCCUAUGGGAGUCAUUAGAGAGGAAGGUCAGGAUGAGAGCUGUCACUCACAUCGGGAGAUGAAGACGGAGUCACACCCUACCAGUCUAGAUUGAAUUCUCAGGGGUAUCCAUGCCCUCAUCCUCCAUGUAAGCUGCCAGGCUGAGGCUUGCCCAGGACAUCAACAGAAGGCCUGAAGGAUCCCUGAGCCCCAUCCCUUCGAGAUCCCUCCCAGAAAACUAUGUGGACUUUUCAUUAGGAAAGAGUUUUAGCUCUCAGAUACUUCCAAAUUACUACUCAGAAGGAGGAAAACUGGACAUAGAAAAUUGAUUUGAGAGAUUAGCAGUUUUAGAACAUGUCUGCCAAGCUAUAGGCACUUUCCUUACACCCAUUUAAUCCUCUCCAUCUCUCCUCUAAGUCCUCUGGUGCCACACUGCCCCCUGGUGGCAGACUGUCCUCUCGUGGCACACUGCCCCCUGGUGGCACACUGCCCCCUGGUGGCACACUGCCCCCUGGUGGCAGUUUGCCCUCUGGUGGCAGACUGCCCUCUGGUGGCACACUGCCCCCUGGUGGCACACUGCCCCAUGGUGGCAUACUCCCCUCUGGUCACAGAGCAAGUGACAGAGGCUUGUCCUAGUGUCUUCCAAUUUCUUGUACCUAAAAGGUAGUUAACUGAAAGACAGUAGUUUAUGAUGAUGUAGAAAAUCUUUGCUAUUUUAGAUACAGACAGUUUUCAGGAGUGAAAGUACAAUGUGUACAUUGUUCGCUUUCAAGGAAGUUAGGUCAAAAUGAAAUUAGGUUUUGGUGGGGGAAAAGCUGAAGGGAAGUGUUGUCUGAAAUGUGAUAUCCCCUGGUGCCUUAAUUGCAGGCAAAAUGUCAAUGUGAAGGACAGUCCUGUGAAGGAUAAACGUACUGAUUUGUUUCAACACCAGAGAAAAAUGACUGAUGUGGUGUGAGAAUGUGUUUCCUUUUAAAGCUUAUGUAUUGAAAACUAGUCCUGACAGGCUUGCCUGCAGCCAUACUGAGUAGGCAAGCAGAACUAAAGACUUUCAGAGAUCCUCUGGCUGCCAUAUGGUGCAAUGGGUGGGUGCCCCUAUGAUGAGCAAGUGUGGUGGAGAGAAAGAGGGAAAGGAAGGUAAACGGAUUUUGUACUGGCCGAUGCCAUCUUGGAAAGUCUAAGGCAAGUAAAUUUUCUGGUGAUGGUCCACCAUUUUGCUUGGCCUGUGAUGGGUAAACUCUGAGAUGUAGGUUUCUUAGAGGCUUCAUCCCCGGGUUGCUUCUCACUGCUGAUCUGCCUUUCCUGUCACAAUAGUGACAAUGCCUAAUGAUUCCUGGGCCUCGGCACAACCUCUUGGGCAAAUGUCCUGCAGAUCGACAUGAAGAUGACCUUUCAUGAACUAAUGCUGUUUAGAUGAACUCAAUUCUAUAGAAUUCCUGAUUUGAAUCAAAUGAUUUUAGGAAGACUGUUUUAGGAGAUGGUUUUAGUUGUUUUGACAGGAAGAUAAAGUUGUGGCCCUUUCUCAUAGAAUAGUAAGUGAAGGCUACAUAAUAAGGAAUACAAUGACCUUUCAUAAAUUGGACAAAGAAGAGAGAUAGGCUUGGGACAAAUGUGUGAUCAAGGAACAACCCUCUAGGUCAGGUCCAAGGAUGAGUCCACAGGAGUGCACUAUGAUAAAGCAAGGCCAUGUGGUACUGUUGCUUUGAACUUAUAAUGAGCUUACAGAACGAAACAUUGCUUUGAACUUCUAAACUUCUGUAACUCCCCUUUUGUGUAACAUUUUAUCUAUGAGGUAGUUGUCUAAAGAACUUUUGUCUAAGAAGAUAUAAAAAAACUGAGAGAAGAAAUGAAGGGUGGCUGUUGGGGCUCAUCCCCAUAUGUACAUGUACAUACAUACAUACAUGUGUGUGUGUGUGUGUGUGUGUGUGUGUGUGUGCGUGUGUGUGUUGUCUCUACAAAUGAUAUUCUUUGCAUUUCUUUUCUCUGUGGUUCACAAAGAGUUAAUGAGUCCCAAGCCUCUAUCCUGCCAGUAAGAGGCCCUUGAGCCAGGGAGAAAGGGCCUAGCAAUUAAGCCUCCCCCCCCCCCCUUCUUAGUCCUUCUGCUACUAUCAGCAGGUGAUUAUUAACAGAAAACAGUGGCAUUUAGCCACAGAAUAGUAUGAAACCACCACUUAUUAGCACAAAAUAGUAAGAGAGAGUUACAGAGUCAGAGGUCAUCAGUCUUUGACAUUCACCUGAGGUUGUCAUUCUUCUUCCGUUCAUUCCGAAGACCAGGGCAGGUCCCUGCCAGUGCACUAUAAGAAAACUGGAAAUGGAGGGGAGAGGGUAGUGAGGAAGAGCCUGAGUGAGUAGCCUAUGCUGUUACCUGAGACCAUGAUGAUAUAAAGGCCUGUGUUGUCAUUGAGGGCCAUGUCUCAGUCUGUGACCUUACAGUAACAGGGGUCUGUGUCAAUGUCCAUGGAUGAUGGUACCACCAAAGGCCAUGUGAACUUCUCUAGUCUGGGCUGUUUCCAGGGACCUGAUUGAUGUCAGAGGGCUGUAAAGAACUGCCCCUACCCCUCACCCGCUGCACCAUGGCAGAGCUGACCCUCUUGUCUUAAGAGUAGGAGAGCUGAUCCUGUCCCUUGGCCUGGCUGGUGCAGGAGAGCUGGCCCCAACCCCUCAACAGCUGCUGCAGCCAGGCUUUCACUCGAUUCUCGGUACCGUGUUGGUGCAGGAGCCAACAAACGGAGGUCCCACCGAGAUUUGAACUUUGAAUUCAGUGAUCCGAGACUGGGAAAGAAAAGGUCUCCUGAUGGGACGUCACGGGAAGCCGGCUCAGAAACAGGACUGGGUGUGGUGGGUUCCUCUGUGCAGAGCACCCUGUCCUCAACCCUGGACUCAUAGGUGGCUUCCUCCCAGGAAACCCCUCAGAGCCCCUCCUGACAGGCCCAGCUCUCAUUCUUCUACAUCAGCAGCUCUCAACCUAGGUUGUGCCCCUUUGGGGGUUGAAUGACCCUUUCACAGGGGUCACGGAAGACCAUCAGAAAACACAGAUAUUUACAUUAAGAAUCAUAACAGCAGGAAAAUUACAGUUAUGAAGUAGCACUGGAAAUAGUUUUAUGAUUAGGGGGUUACCACAAUUCAAGGAACGAUAUUAAAGGGUCGAAGCAUUAGGAAGGUUGAGAACCACAUUAUUCACCAUCUGAGUCACAGCCUACCUAGGUCAAGUAUUCAUCUGGGUGAGACAGCACUCUCAGAGAUGACCUAGCAGACAGUGGUGGUCGUGUUUAGAGACUGUACUCUGGCAAGGAGGAGGACGCUUGGAUUUCUGGGCCAUUCUCGAGUUGUAAUUGUCCAGUUGAACAACCUUUGUAAUAAAAAUCUCAGGCAGGUAGAAACUGUCUUUGCUUGCAUCAAGUGGCACAAGUUCCUCCGUUCUUUGGAAGUUUCAGGUCCCUUCCUCAGGGUCCCACCUGGCGACCUGCCCUGGCAGGAAGAUGGUGCAGACGAUUCCCAUCCUUUGAAGGGGACCUCAGCUGGAGAGUGCUAUGUGCACAGGAGGCAAAGAUGAUGGCAGUCUGGGGAGAACUGGUUGCCUUCUGUCCCGGCUGGAUAUUUUUCAUUCAAGAUGAAACCAGCAUGAGACUUGAUCCCACUGAUUCCACAGCUUUCUAUCACUGGAGAGCAAAUCUCCACAGCAGGUUGGCUGUUCUGGGAUGACUUUGCCUCUCCAGGAGGAGUUCACAGGGAAGGCAUUCUGAGGAGAAUAGCUGUAAGAAUACGAUGUUCACGGUUGGCUUCACACAGGUCACAGUAUCUGCAGCAAUAGUCCUGACUGAGAUGUUGUCCAUGAGUCCAGAGCUAACAGACAACCCCAGUCCUGGGAACCUGAGAGCCUGGGGCAGACCCACCAAGAAACCCGGCCUACCUUCAGAAGACCAAGAAGAGAUGUCUUCUCCUGCCUUAUGGACUUGCAUUUCUCUGGAGACUAUCAUGCAGUUGCUUCUCUAUGUAUCCAUGGCAUUAAUAAACUUCUUAGUCCCCAGUAA